UUGUAAUACUGACGUUAUUAUACAUCGGAUUCAGAUGAAAAUUGGUACACGAGAGUUUCGAUUGACAAGCAAUCGAUUCCAGGUAUCGAAUUCAGUAUAAGGGGUCGUCCAUAUCAACUUUUCAAUGUUUCUGUGAUAUUGAUGUCAUUAUUUAUCGGAUUGAGAAGAAAAUUUGCGCUCGGAUAUUUCUAGGAACACACAAUCGAUUGCCGGUAUCAAAUUUUGUAUAAGUGGCAGGUCAAAGGAGUCGUCCAUAUUAACUGUUCGCUAUUUUUUCGAUAUUGACUUUAUUAUACAUCGGAUUCAGAUGAAAAUUGGUACACGAGAAUUUUCAAUAAACGAAAAACGAUUUCAGGUAUCAAAUUUUGUGUAAGGGACAGGCAAAAAGGGUCAUCCAUAUUACCUUUUCAAUUUUUUUUGUGAAACUGACCUUAUUAUACAUCGGAUUGAGAUGCAAAUUUGCAUAUAGAAAUAAUAAAAGACGAACAAUUGAUUCCAAUUAUCCAAUUUUGGGUCAGGGGGCGGCCAAAGAGGACGUCCAUAUUAACAAUUCACCGUUUUUUUGCGAUAUUGACGUUAUUAUGCAACGGAUCGGUUUAAAAAUUUGCACACGGUGUCUUGGUGCACGGUGUCUGCGCUUUAGUGUUCCAGUGUUGAUUUGUAAGCAUCUUUUGAAUGAAAAAUUAUGUUAUAAGGAUUUGUCAUCAAAAAUUAAUGAUCAUUUAUCAGUUAUUGACUUAGCGAAUUUAUAUCAUAAAUAAAUAAUUGGUCUAUUAAGUCAGUUUCACAAUCAUGGCUUACAUCUAGUUGAAGGCACUGUUAGCUCAGAUACUCGCGUGUACAAAUUCGUUGUCAAUUACACAAUACAAAGAAGGUUCCCUAAUCGCUUUGCGACACAUCUAAACUAUUAUGAUCAUUUAAAAGCUGUCGGAUAUCACUGCAUUUGUCGCAAUAGAAUGACUUUUCAAUCACUUAAAUUACCAGUUAUUGUUACUGUAAAAGAUGUACACACACUGAUGACUGUAAAGUCUAAAGAAUUUACAAAUAGUACACGAAUGUCCAAUAGAAUAUAUUAAAGAUAAGGAAGCAGAUGGGAAACACGAAUCGGGAACGUUUGUCUAUCCAGAUGGCUAUCUCUUGCGGUGUCAUCGUGGUCCAACCGGUUUUGUCGGUCGUUUUGCUUGGGUCACCGGAUGCGUCAUCAAUUUUGAUGGCAAUAUUUCCGUUACGAUUAUCCAAGGUGUCGUCGUUCGAGGUGGUAAUGAUUGGGAGUGCCGAGUUUGAUUUCGAUGGAAAAGACUGCAAAAGUAAAAAAAAUUUGUAGAGAAUAUUUUUUAAGAUUAUUUUGAAGCUUAUUUCGAACAUAUUUACAUGAACUGUUAGAUAAUUGUUGUAGGAGUUCGCUGCAGUUAUGGUGGCUUGCCCAUCCAAACUGGUGCAUGAAUGAGAUUUUUGCAGUCCUCCCAUUUCCUUGCGCGAUGGAAGAGGCGUGAGCGAUUUGAAAAUGUAUUUGCUAUUCUUUUUCUUCAGUUCGACAUUCUUUUUCCUCCUCCAAAUGGUGUUCACAAAUGCAAACUCUACCAAGCUACCGAAGAUGAAACCCGUGCAUCCGAGGAACCAUAUUUCGGACGCUUUGAUGUAGCUGACUUUGGGCAGUGUUUUGCCCUGAGCCGAAGCCAGAGUAAUGAAGGUCAACAUAGUGCUGGUACCGAGGGUGAUUCGGGGCGCUGACUGAUCAGCCUGGAGCCAAAAGGUGACCCAUGAGAUAGCUACCAACAUACAAGACGGGAUGAAGUAGUCCAUCAAAUAGAAGCCCAUCUCUCGAGCCAAGUGCACGGUGAAGCUUAGGGAGCUGUAAUUGCCAGCUGAAAUAUUCAGAGUAAUGUUGAAUCUUUUUGAGUAUGUCGGACAAAAAAUUGAGGCUUACCAAAUGAACCAUGUCGUAGAUCACUAAGAUCAGCAUUAAUAACGGUUUCGUUCGUGAACAUUUCCAGCAAAACGUAUUCAGUCAGAUGCAACUCCGGGGCCAAGGUCACUGGAGAUUUUGAUUCCCACUUCAAGGUUAAGUGUGUCGUAUUCAACAUCCCUAAAAAUGAAAAGGGUAAAUUAUGACCUUCUUAAACCAAACUAAUCCAACUCCAAUCUUACAGCUUUCUAAAAUCGUCGAACAAUGCUGCUCGUCGAAGGGAAAUUUCUGCAAGUUCAUCCAACAGUACAGCGUGGCACUGAUUCGUGUCGAAAUUAUAACCGUUCCGUCGGGACUAAUCGACGUGAGGAUAUCCUUUUCAGCCGUUCCGAGAAUAUCCGAGCUCCGUUCGUUCGCGAGGAAGACAUGUGGCACCCACAGCAGAUCCCGAAGCGAUUGUUCACCCAUUAUGGGUUCCGUUUUGGUGGGAGCUACCUUGCCAAAGACUAGCCGAGGAUCAACGUAACGGAGCUGCAGUAGCGCAUGAAUUUUGAAUUGCUGAAAUUGGAGAAAAAAUCAAACGGAUAACAAAUGUAAAACAAAAGUAAUACUUUCAAUAAUUUUGAAUAUUUACUAAAUCGUGGGCUUCCAGGUUCUGCAUAAAGUAUAUGUAAGCUCGAGCAUAAACUUCAACUGGAGGUUUGGAUCCGUUUGCCAAAGCUGCAAAUAUAUUAAAAAAAAAAAAUUAAAAUAUAGUUUUUUUUGUUAUAUAUUUUUGUUUAUGGUUUUUGAUAUUAACGAUGGACUGAGUAGGAUAAUAUACUAGAAGUAAUUAAGUAAGUUAAUAAAAUAAAAAAUGCAAAAUCAAAAAGUUAAAUUUAAUGCAAUAUUUGUCUGUUGGUAACCCUAUGCACUGUUGGUCUGAAAUCUGAAAAAAAGCCUGCAAAUCACGACAAACUGCUUUGGCUUUUUUUCUUGGGAUUUUCAUCCAAUAGGAUGAUUCAUCCCUUAAACUGCUUUGGCGAUUUUAAGUACUCCAUAAGUAUUCCGCAGAAAGUCGCCGAAUUGGUCUCACAUUAAAUUCUUUUAUCGUUCGAUGAGCAAACGCAACACCGAUAUGCCAUCAGAUCAAGAGUUUGUAAAUCUGGAAUCCACGAUCAUAGUUUAAAACUCAAGUGCAGCCCACUGCAGCAGUGAAAUUUAACCAAGUGUCAUCCUAUGCAGCGACGCCGCGGCCGAUCGUUGAUCAUGGUUGCCAGAAUCGUUAACAAUAUUAAUAGGGAAUACAACGAAAAUGUCGAGGAGCAAUCGCUUGAGUUAGCUUGCCGAAUUUACAUGAGCCAACAUGACCAAUAUGAACCUAUCUUCGAUGGUCUUGGCCGCUCGAAAGACGAUUGGAUUCAGCAGCUCAUCCCAAUUAGGGUUGGUACACCUUCUUUAAACCUAUAAAAUUCAAAAAAUUAAUUUUGUUUCUUCUGUUUUAUUUUCAGUAAUGACGUAUACGCUACAAUAGUCUUGUUGAUUUUAAGAUUCAAAUCCUUUUGGUUUAAUUACGCAAAAUUUCAUUAUUUUUUUUCAUUUUGAAUCUUAACGUAGCAUUGGAAUACUAUUAUUUCUGAAGAAUUUGAAUCAAAACUCAAUAAUUCUAGAUUUCAGCUAACUCUGAAGCUUUUUUUUUCUAUAUUAUGAAUUCAAAAGCUCUCCAGAAAAUUUAAAUGAUUUCGAGAAAACUGUAUAGCGAAUUCAAUCAAUUGUACAUAUGGUCGAUAAAAUGAACAUCAAUACGAAAUUCUUGAUCGAGAAACAUUUAAGGCCUACAGAUGUAAAGAAACAAUAACUAAUAUUCCGUUUGCAGUGAGUUACCUGGAGGUAAUAAACAAAUAAUUUGAG